rnacentral:lncRNA from 1 species
UAAAUAUCUGAUGAAAGAAUCAUAGAAUCAGGGAAGAAGCCCAGUUCCAAGAGUCUGUAGUGGGCGAAUACAAAGUGUGGACUUUCUCUGACUCUCUCCAAGUUUGCCCGCUAUGAUCAGACUGGGUCCUUUCUGAGGCUGAGCUUGCAGAAAGGAAUUCAGCCAAGGAGACAGGAGUGAACACCAGGCAGGGCCCGGAAGCAUUCAUCACUGUGGACAGGCGAGCACAGGUAACCAUCAACUUUUAGUGGAAGAGCAUCCAUGGCUACUCACAGCAUGGGAAGACAAGUUUUAGGUCCCAGAUGAUCAGCUGAGCUGGUGAGGAGUCAGGGAGGUGUCUGAGCUGGAAAUGGAAGCAGAUGUACGUGUGUAAAUUGCACUUACAUAAAAGUUGCUUCGUUAACAUGGCACCAAACCUUCUAGUUGUAACGUUGGGUCAAAAAAAUAGCUUAGACGGCAAGCCAUGUAGACAGAUCCUUGCUUUCCUAAAUUUCUGUCUCCUUCUUUUUAUUAGAUUAUCCCCUGAGCAUGAUACUUGAAGAGAUACUGCCCAUCAAACAAAUGGCAUCUUAAGUAACUACUGUCUCAUGGUGAUUAGAGACACAGAACUGCCCAUCAAGUUUCUCCCUGCCAAGAAAUGCCAUGUGGAGUUGCUCUAUUCGAGCCAAAAGGCUCAGGCAAGAUUUGGAGUCCAGGAGAGAGCCAGCAGCCAGGGUGGAAAAGUCAGUGAAUAAUACUUGGGAGAUCGACCCAUCCGGGCUGCUGGGAAUACCUGGGGAAAAGAUAAAUCUGACUCCAGAACCUAUCACCUGGAUGGACCUGCCUUCGGUGCACACCAGCCCCCUACUGCCCCAAAAGUCUCUCCCUUGUGCGU